rnacentral:rRNA from 1 species
AUUGAACGCUGGCGGCAGGCCUAACACAUGCAAGUCGAGCGAGCGGCGGACGGGUGAGUAAUGUAUGGGGACUGCCCGAUAGAGGGGGAUAACUACUGGAAACGGUAGCUAAUACCGCAUACUAUCGGAUAACCCAGAUGGGAUUAGCUAGUCGUUGAGGUAAUGGCUCACCUAGGCGACGAUCCCUAGCUGAUCUGAGAGGAUGAUCAGCCACACUGGGACUGAGACACGGCCCAGAAUCCUACGGAGGCAGCAGUGGGGAAUAUUGCACAAUGGGCGCAAGCCUGAUGCAGCCAUGCCGCGUGUAUGAAGAAGGCCAUAGGGUUGUAAAGUACUUUCAGUCGAGAGGCGUUACCGACACAAGAAGCACCGGCUAACUCCGUGCCAGCCGCCGCGGUAAUUC